UACGGAGGGUGCAAACGUUGCUCGGAAUCAUUGGGCGUAAAGCGCACGUAGGCGGCCUGAUAAGUCGGGUGUGAAAGCCCUGGGCUCAACCCAGGAAGUGCACUCGAAACUGUCAGGCUUGAAUAUGGAAGAGGGUCGCGGAAUUCCCGGUGUAGAGGUGAAAUUCGUAGAUAUCGGGAGGAACACCCGUGGCGAAGGCGGCUUUCUGGGACGGUACUGACGCUGAGACGCGAAAGCGUGGGGAGCGAACAGG
rnacentral:rRNA from 1 species